AGUGGCAAAGUACAAAGAAAAAGAAAAAAAUGGUGGUAUAAUUUUGGGAGCCCGUGCUAUAACUUGUGAAAGUUAUUUUUUUCUUCUUCAAUUUAUAAUUACAAAGCUCUAAAGAAUUCUCUGGGAAAUAUCUUGUUCGACUCCUCCGAUCAUCUUCGGCGUUUCUAAUCGCCUACGGUGUCUCCGAAGUCAGUCCACUGCUCUGUCUACAACGUUCGGCUCUUCGGCGUUUCCAAUCGUUCGACUCUGUCGUCGGCGUUUCCAAUCGUCUACAGAGCAUGCUCUUUAUUCUAACAGCUUGUGUUUCUGACAGCUCACUGAAGUUAUUUUCCUGAGACACACAAUCACGCACUCACACCUCUCGGCUUCUCCUCAUCAGUCCUCGAACAGUUUAGGCUUUAGAUCUUUGGAUGACAAAACAAACUGAAGGGGGAAAAGUAACUAGGAUCAAUGCUUUUCGGAGAGCCCAUACCAAGAAGAAUGGUGAACCAAUCAACCAAACAACAUCUGAAGUUUUUAGUGUUGGAGUUAAAAAGAGCCAUAACUUUACAGAAGCAAGGAAUGUUUGCUACUUGCUCGAUUGGUCAGAUGCAAUUAUUGCUGAAAGUCGUUGGAAUUCUAGUGAUCCUGACUUAGAGGUGCACGGAAUUCCUCGUGGACCAGAUUUUAUGCGUGUAUGGGUUGAUGUUGCUGUUGUGCCUGGUGCAUAUUUAUUUCGUCCUAACUAUGCGAUGCUUACUAUGCAAGAAGUUGUUGGUUCAACAGUUGCAUGACCUUCUCAAAAGGUUAUUCCAAGAGAUUCAGCAAGUGAAGUGCAAAAGAAAAUCUGAUUUGGAAGGCUUUGGUGUGCUGACAUUUGGAAGAUCAUGAAUUCCUACCUUUACUUUUGAAUAUGCAACUGUUUAAGACUAUUUUGUUGACUAUUGUGAAAAUGUUUUGUUUAUGUUAAUUAGGCAGUGUUGAAUAUCUUAAGACUUUUAGAUUGUUUUUUAGAUAAUCUUGAAUGUAUUUUGACACAAUUAUUUGGUUAAAUGUGUUAUGAACUUAACCAAAUAAUUGGUACUCAAAAAUAUAUUUGUACAAUGUUAAGGGUGUCUUAAGUA